UGGAAAGUGAAAGAAGAUAAGUACCCUGUAUUGGGUAUAGUUGUCAGUACGUCAGACUGACUUAUUAUACAGAAUCAGAGCAAGGUAAGAUAACUGAAGAAGCAAAUUAUCUGACAAAAAGAGAGAAAUAGAGUGUUAGCAAAAGCUAAAUGGGUAUAUAAUGUAUAUGAGAGUAAAAUAGUAUAACAGUACAGUGUGGUAAGUAUUAUUUGUUUGUAGAUAUUAUUUUUAAUCCUAACACGUAAAUAUCUAUUGCCACCAUACAAGGAGCAGGUAGGGGUAUGUUAUAAUUGCAUGUUUGCAUAUGGUCAUUUACUCUUUAACCACUCUGUGGUUUUGGACUUUGAGAAGCUUUCAGAAGAUAUGCUGCAGAAGGUCUGUAAGGGCGGCUCAUUUUCUAUAAUGAUGAACAUAAUAAUCGCUCUUCUGUGUGUUCUGGCAAACCAAGUCAUAAGCCAAACUGAAGAUAUUUUUCCUGCAAAGAUCCUGGCCCAGCAGACGAUUAUAAGUGAAAACAGUGACUUUAUUGUAACAUGCAGCACAUUUGGGAAAAAGAAAGACUCCAUGGUUUUUAUUUAUUUGUUAAUAAAUGGGUGCGGAAUCCAGUAUCUCGCCCAGAAGCAAGAUCAAAGUGACACUACGUUCAUCAUAUCCAGAGCUAGUCUUCAUCACAGUGGAAAUUACAGCUGUGUUUAUU